AGUGAACGCUGGCGGUAGGCCUAGCACAUGCAAGUCGAACGGCAGCACAGUAAGAGCUUGCUCUUACGGGUGGCGAGUGGCGGACGGGUGAGGAAUACGUCGGAAUCUACUUUUUCGUGGGGGAUAACGUAGGGAAACUUACGCUAAUACCGCAUACGACCUACGGGUGAAAGCAGGGGAUCUUCGGACCUUGCGCGAUUGAAUGAGCCGAUGUCGGAUUAGCUAGUUGGCGGGGUAAAGGCCCACCAAGGCGACGAUCCGUAGCUGGUCUGAGAGGAUGAUCAGCCACACUGGAACUGAGACACGGUCCAGACUCCUACGGGAGGCAGCAGUGGGGAAUAUUGGACAAUGGGCGCAAGCCUGAUCCAGCCAUACCGCGUGGGUGAAGAAGGCCUUCGGGUUGUAAAGCCCUUUUGUUGGGAAAGAAAAGCAGCAGGUUAAUACCCCGCUGUUCUGACGGUACCCAAAGAAUAAGCACCGGCUAACUUCGUG
rnacentral:rRNA from 1 species